AAAAUUCCGAAAAAAGGUUUUUUGUUGUUGGUUUUGUUGGCAAGAAAAUGGUUGGCAGGUUAUGUGCCGAACCUGAAAAAAUGUGUUAAAGUGCAUGUGUUUUAAAAAAGUAUAUAUCUCAGUGAAGUGGUUGGCGAAGCCUGAUGCAGAUAUCUUACUUUGCACCUUUGCCGUCAACCCAACACAUGCAAUAGAUGGUUGUCCACUGCAGGAGUUUGUCCUCCCAUACCAAGUGCCGUUUUCCAGAUUAGGAUUCGGCACUUAGUCAUAUUUUAUAUAAAACCUGGUAUUAAACUGACUCUAAUGACCCAGUCAUAUUUUAUAUAAACCCAGCCAUAUUUUAUAUAAUAACCCAGCGGUAGAAUUUUAAAUUAAUUUAAACUGCAACUUCAACACACACAAAUGUCUGGCUAACGGCCAACCACCAAAAGCUCCAAGUCGCAGCUGUGCUGGACACAUCAGCUGUCUGGGCUACGCAAACAGAUGAGCUGUUGCUAGCUGCAGACGCUCAUUGAUCACAGGAGAAUUGCUUCCCAGCAGGCUGUGUUUCUACUGCAAAACACCUGCGUCCGGCAGCCUUGUGAUCUACGUUGGCUAUUUGCUCCGCACUUGUGGUGGCUUCGAGGCCGAAUAUCUGCGUUACCCAGGAGGAAGGCGAACGGCUGACUAGCAGCUUAUUUUUUUUGUUUGUUUGUUUGUUUAUUAUUGUUAAUUUACGUUAUGUUGUUCAAUUAUGCAUCUAUAAGUGAUAGUCCAUCAAUGUUGUAAGUGUAAUAUGAUGUGGCGAGAAAGUUGAACCAACAACUUUUCUUGGGCCCUCAUAAUACAAGUACCGCUGUACUAUUGUAUAAAAAUAGAAGUGGCAAUCAUUUAAGAAUGCAUGUAAGGCAACACAUAUAGGCAAAUUAUUAUUGUAAAAUUGUAUUUAGUUAUAAAAAUUAAUGUUUUUGUAUUGCCUGAAAAGCAAGUAAAACCAUCCUUGCAUACAUUUGUAUGUAUGCAUGUUUGUUUUGAUCGACGCUACCGGUCAUAGCAAGCAGCUUUCAUGCAGGCGCAAAAGCUCGCAAUUAUUAUUAUUCCCCACAGAUACACCACAGACAGGCACCAACACAAGGAAAGAUCUUUCUGCGUGGGAGUCUCUAAUGUAUGUAAGUCUGUUUCACUCUAACUAAUUAAUAAUACAUGAGCUAAAGCUAAAGCUUCCCUUUUUGCUGGUGGUCCAUCUGACCAUAGCGCUGCUACAGCUGUCUGCAGUCCCAGUGGUCAAUGACUUUGCGAGACUGGCAAUAGCAAAACAUUUCAUUGAGUGACAGCCAUCAGCUGAUCCUCAUAUUUUUUACUUGCAUCUAGUGUUUGCCUAUAUUCGGUGUGAUGUUCUAACAUUGCAUUUCUAAAUGAACCAAAACUAGUUCAUUUUAGCUAAUUUUGUCCUUCUCUUAAUUUAUUCAAAAUUUAAAUGCAAAAGUAAUUAUUUAUAUUAUAUUUA